rnacentral:rRNA from 1 species
GAUGAACGCUGGCGGCGUGCCUAAUACAUGCAAGUCGAGCGAACGGACGAGAAGCUUGCUUCUCUGAUGUUAGCGGCGGACGGGUGAGUAACACGUGGAUAACCUACCUAUAAGACUGGGAUAACUUCGGGAAACCGGAGCUAAUACCGGAUGAUAUUUUGAACCGCAUGGUUCAAAAGUGAAAGACGGUCUUGCUGUCACUUAUAGAUGGAUCCGCGCUGCAUUAGCUAGUUGGUAAGGUAAUGGCUUACCAAGGCAACGAUGCAUAGCCGACCUGAGAGGGUGAUCGGCCACACUGGAACUGAGACACGGUCCAGACUCCUACGGGAGGCAGCAGUAGGGAAUCUUCCGCAAUGGGCGAAAGCCUGACGGAGCAACGCCGCGUGAGUGAUGAAGGUCUUCGGAUCGUAAAACUCUGUUAUUAGGGAUGAACAUAUGUGUAAGUAACUGUGCACAUCUUGACGGUACCUAAUCAGAAAGCCACGGCUAACUACGUG